rnacentral:rRNA from 1 species
AUUGAACGCUGGCGGCAUGCUUUACACAUGCAAGCCGAACGGUAACAGGUUAAGCUGACGAGUGGCGAACGGGUGAGUAAUGCAUCGGAACGUGCCCGGUCGUGGGGGAUAACGCAGCGAAAACUGCGCUAAUACCGCAUACGAUCUGAGGAUGAAAGCGGGGGACCGUAAGGCCUCGCGCGAUCGGAGCGGCCGAUGUCAGAUUAGGUAGUUGGUGGGGUAAAGGCUCACCAAGCCGACGAUCUGUAGCUGGUCUGAGAGGACGACCAGCCACACUGGGACUGAGACACGGCCCAGACUCCUACGGGAGGCAGCAGUGGGGAAUUUUGGACAAUGGGCGCAAGCCUGAUCCAGCAAUGCCGCGUGCAGGAAGAAGGCCUUCGGGUUGUAAACUGCUUUUGUACGGAGCGAAAAGGCUUUCUCUAAUACAGGAGGCUGAUGACGGUACCGUAAGAAUAAGCACCGGCUAACUACGUGCCAGCCGCCGCGGUAAGAC